GUGGGAUCCACAUGCCUGAAAGUUAGCCACUUCCCAGGACGGAUGCCCACCAACCCUCUGCUCACACCAGCUGUGUCUGCCCUAUUUAGGUACCCAUGCCAGGAAAUAAAAAGCAGGGUCUUGUGUGGCCCAGGCUGGAUUUAAAAUCCGUGGGUAACUGAAGUUGACCUUCAACUCCUGAUCUUCCCAUCUCCAACUCCCAAGAGCUGCACCGAUACGCCCAGCUGACCCUUCUGCCUUAUUGGAAUAAGUCCCCAGCACCAGCUUCUUUUCAGGGUCCAGGUGGAGCCGGACGCCGCCCCCUGGUGGCAGUGCGAGUCUGCGCUCAGGGCUUGGUAAAGACCUCGCGGCAGCGCCGCUAGCUGAUUGGCCCGCAGGGUUUCCAGGCGCUUUGCAAGUCGGCUGAUGCUGGUGGUCCUCAGACUGCAGACCUGCCCCUGCCCCUCGGGAUUCAAAUCCAGACUGGGGCCAGCAAAGCUGGCUUGUGAACCUGAGGAGUUUUCCGUUUCUCUCCCAUCUUUGUUGUGGUCGUGAAUUCCUCCAGGGCUCAGGAUGGCGAUUUGACACC